GAAAAGGGAGGGAGGGAGGCGGUAUUGCUGCUACUUUUUUUUUUACAGCUAAGGAGACAGUUCAAGGGCGUAAAGAAAAAUAUUAAAAAAAAGCCCGCUACUUACUGCUCCUGAAUAGAGGUCAAAGGAGUGUCCAGAAAGAGAGGUCAAUUUCGGGAGGACCUUGAGUUGCGUAGUGUCAAGGCCCUUGGAGUGUUUUGCGCCUGGCUGUUAUCUUCAAGAGGAGGUUGGAUAAAUUCAUGGAUAGUGAGGUUAAGUGGGAUAAGAAAGAGGAGGAAGAUUACAGUAGAGGUCGGUUGGAUAAAGUCAUGGAUAGUUAGGUUAGGUUGGAUAAGAAAGAGGAUGAGGAUAAGAGCUGAGGAAGGAAGCGGAUAGAAGCAGGUUGGAUAAAUUCAUGGAUAGUGGUUAGGUUGGAUAAGAAAGAGGAUGAGGAUAAAAGCUGAGGAAGGAAGUGGAUAGAGGUAGGUUGGAUAAAUUUAUGGAUAGUGAGGUUAGGUGGGGUAAGAAAGAUGAUGAAGAUUAGAAUAGAGGUAGGUUGGAUAAAGUCAUGGAUAGUUAGGUUAGGUUGGAUAAGAAAGAGGAUGAGGAUAAAAGCUGAGGAAGGAAGUGGAUAGAGGUAGGUUGGAUAAAUUCAUGGAUAGUGAGGUUAGGUUGGAUAAGAAAGAGGAUGAGGAUAAGAGCUGAGGAAGGAAGUGGAUAGAAGCAGGUUGGAUAAAUUUAUGGAUAGUGAGGUUAGGUUGGAUAAGAAAGAGGAUAAGAGCUGAGGAAGGAAGUGGAUAGAAGCAGGUUGGAUAAAUUCAUGGAUAGUGAGGUUAGGUGGGGUUAGGUUCACGGGAGCUGUCAUAUAUAGACCUACCUACCGGCCUCGUGCAGACUCCUUACGUUCUUAUGUUCUUAUUAUGUUCCUAAGUUAAUUAUAGCAUCCUCGGCAGUUCUUCGGGGUCAGUACAUACACGCCAAUCUUUUAUAUUUAUUUUCUGUUUACCAUUUAUUUUUAAGAGCGUCAGGGCGAAAUGAAACUACCUAUUAUUGUUGUUUUAUCGCGGAGGAAAAAGCUGCCGUGUAUAAUCUAAGUCCGUUGUCUGAGUGGAAACUGGUUAGUAUAUUCUUUAUCUUGUCAGGAGAUCAGCUUUUAAGAGACUUUGAAGAGUUUUAAGUGCAAGGUAUUAUUAUUUAUUUAUUUUUUUUGCCUCAUUUCAGUGCUAAUUGGAAGGAUGUGUUUAUACGAAUUGCCAGAUGCACCCUACACACACACACACACACACACACACACACACACACACACACGGACAGUGAUACAAGACUCGCCCGCAUGCCACCAGUCCUCCGCAUUGGCGUUGUUAAGUUCGCGGGAAGCAAACAAAAAAAAACAAAAAAAAGGCGUGAUCAAGAAGCAUUACUCUAUCAGAUUAAUGCUAUUUCUUUUUUUAAGGCAAAGGUAAGGUAAGAACAACACCGACACACCUUAACAUUAUUGAUUUUACGUUAACGAGAAACAGGAUGUAAGAAAGUGCUGGCGAGGGGCGAUGGAGCUCACAACACGGGAUGGAAAUUGUGUGUGUGUGUGCUGAGGUAGGUCCGUGCGGGGGGAAGGGGGGG